rnacentral:misc_RNA from 1 species
GAUGAAGAACGCAGCGAAAUGCGAUAAGUAAUGUGAAUUGCAGAAUUCAGUGAAUCAUCGAAUCUUUGAACGCACAUUGCGCCCGCUAGUAUUCUGGCGGGCAUGCCUGUUCGAGCGUCAUUUCAACCAUCAAGCCCUGUUUAGGCUUGUGUUGGGGCCCUGCGGUUGCCGCAGCCCCCUAAAUGCAGUGGCGGGCUCGCUAUCACACCGAGUGCAGUAGUUUACUCUUCGCUCAGGGCGUGUGGCGGGUGCUAGCCGUAAAACCCCCAACUUCUCAAGGUUGACCUCGGAUCAGGUAGGAAUACCCGCUGAACUUAAGCAUAUCAAUAAGCGGAGGA